CCCUAUGGGGUGCAGCAGUUGCGAAACCUCCACAAUGCACGAAAGUGUGAUGGGGCUAACCCGAGUGCCGUCCGCUGAGGAUGGCUUUUCUCCGCUGUAAGGAGGCGGAGGAAUAAGGAGAGGGCAAGACUGGUGUCAGCCGCCGCGGUAAUACCAGCUCUCCGAGUGGUAGGGACGAUUAUUGGGCCUAAAGCGUUCGUAGCCGGCUUGGCAAGUCUCUCGUUAAAUCCAGUGACUUAAUCGCUGGGCUGCGGGAGAUACUGUCAGGCUUGGGAGCGGAAGAGGUCGACGGUAUUCUCGGGGUAGGGGUGAAAUCCUGUAAUCCCGGGAGGACCACCAGUGGCGAAGGCUGUCGACUAGAACGCGUCCGACGGUGAGGGACGAAAGCUGGGGGAGCGAACCGGAUUAGAUACCCGGGUAGUCCCAGCUGUAAACUAUGCGGGCUAGGUGUCAGUGUGGCUACGAGCCACUCUGGUGCCGCAGGGAAGCUCAUAAGCCCGCCGCCUGGGAAGUACGGUCGCAAGGCUGAAACUUAAAGGAAUUGGCGGGGGAGCACCACCAGGCGUGAAGCUUGCGGUUCAAUUGGAGUCAACACCGGGAACCUUACCGGGGGAGACAGCACGUUGAAAGCCAGAUUAAAGGUCUUGCUGGACGAGCUGAGAAGAGUGCAUGGCCAAGGCGAUU
rnacentral:rRNA from 1 species